CCAACAAUAUGCUGUCUACAAGAGACCCACCUCAGAACAAAAGAUGUUGGAGACCCGAUGUAAGCUGACACAGUCCUUGCACCCAAAGAAGCUAGCAAGGCUAACCCCAUACCCACACAGUGUCCCCAGGCUUGUUUGGAUGGCGAUUAUCAGUAGAAUGAGUGCAACCUUUCAUGGCUUGCCAAGAAGUCUGUAACUGUUAACUGAGAUUUGCUGUUGGAAGCACAAAGCAG